CUACGGGUUGCACCAGUAAGGAAUAUUGCGCAAUGGUCGCAAGACUGACGCAGCAACGCCGCGUGGAUGAUGAAGCUCUAUGGAGUGUAAAGUCCUGUUAGAAGGGAAGAAUGGUGUGAAUUAAAAGAUUCAUACGUGACGGUACCCUCAGAGAAAGCCCCGGCUAACUCCGUGGCCAGCAGCCGCGGUAAUACGGGGGGGGCAAGCGUUGUCCGGAAUUACUGGGCGUAAAGGGCGCGUAGGUGGAAAUGUAAGUUAGGGGUGAAAGCCAGCAGCUUAACUGCUGGUCUGCCUUUAAUACUGCAAUUCUUGAGUGCGAAAGAGGGAAGCGGAAUUCUUGGUGUAGCGGUGAAAUGCGUAGAUAUCAAGAAGAACACCGGUAGCGUAGGCGGCUUCCUGGUUCGUAACUGACACUGAUGCGCGAAAGUGUGGGGAGCAAACAGGAUUAGAUACCCCGGUAGUC
rnacentral:rRNA from 1 species